AAAAGAAUACCCUAUUUCGUAAACAAAAAUUGGAUAAAUAAAAACAAAAACAUCUUACACUUAUUCAGAGAAAUCGAGGACAAUAAUAACAAAGGAAAGAAAUUUGUUUUUAAUUACUUCUUUCGUUUAAGCAUCACUCAAACAAGAAACUAGUUUAAGAUCGAAAAGAAUAAUCACAAAUAAAAUGAUAACGAAAAAUAAGAAUAAUCGAAGUACCAGUUAUUGCAUACUCCGUGGAUUUGGGGGUUUUGCUGGGGUUUUAAAGCAUUAAACUUCAAAGGGAUAAAUAUUUUUUUGGUUUUAGGUCAACUUAAUUCAUUUUUAAAUAAGUUUUUCAUUUCCUAUUUUUUAAUAAAAUUAUGUGAUUGAUUAUUUGUAUUAUUUAGAAUUAAAAU
rnacentral:lncRNA from 1 species